rnacentral:misc_RNA from 1 species
UCAACCCUCAAGCCCGGCUUGAUGUUGGACCUACGGCCGUCCCUCGUGACAGGCCCGGUCCCAAAGACAAUGACGGCGUCCGUUGGACCCUCGGUGCAAUGAGCUCUCACCAGCACGCCCCGAGUUGCAAGGUCCUCCGGCCCGGUCUCCUCCCAAUUUUCAAUAA